rnacentral:rRNA from 1 species
GAUGAACGCUGGCGGCGUGCCUAAUACAUGCAAGUCGAGCGAACAGACGAGGAGCUUGCUCCUCUGACGUUAGCGGCGGACGGGUGAGUAACACGUGGAUAACCUACCUAUAAGACUGGGAUAACUUCGGGAAACCGGAGCUAAUACCGGAUAAUAUAUUGAACCGCAUGGUUCAAUAGUGAAAGACGGUUUUGCUGUCACUUAUAGAUGGAUCCGCGCCGCAUUAGCUAGUUGGUAAGGUAACGGCUUACCAAGGCGACGAUGCGUAGCCGACCUGAGAGGGUGAUCGGCCACACUGGAACUGAGACACGGUCCAGACUCCCACGGGAGGCAGCAGUAGGGAAUCUUCCGCAAUGGGCGAAAGCCUGACGGAGCAACGCCGCGUGAGUGAUGAAGGUCUUCGGAUCGUAAAACUCUGUUAUUAGGGAAGAACAAAUGUGUAAGUAACUAUGCACGUCUUGACGGUACCUAAUCAGAAAGCCAUGGCUAACUACGUG